rnacentral:rRNA from 1 species
UCGAGAAUCUUUGUCAAUGAGCGCAAGCUUGAACGAGCGACGCCGCGUGCGGGAUGAAGGCCUUCGGGUUGUAAACCGCUGUCAGGGGCUAACAAUAAGCGUGUAACUCACGUGAUGAGUUAAACCCCAGAGGAAGUGACGGCUAACUACGUGCCAGCAGCUGCGGUAAUACGUAGGUCACGAACGUUAUUCGGAAUCACUGGGCUUAAAGGGCGCGUAGGCGGCUUAGCAAGUAGAGGUUGAAAUCCGG